ACUUGUGCAUCUUGUACUCACCCACUUCUGUUCUCCAAGAGUUUGAGGCCUCCAAGGUUCCUGGGGAGACUGGAUGGCCAUCCUUCUGACACAGCCACCAGGGUCUGGGUGUCCAGUGUGAACUCUAGCAGGCCCCAAGAGACCCCAUCCAUGCAAAGAACAUCUAGAGGACCAUGGAUGGUGACAUAAUGUCUCUCACUGGAGAGAGACAUCAAGAGACUACAUGUUAAGACUAUACCCCCAUUCUUGAAAGCCUUAAAAGACA